GUCGUAGUACGUUUGACUCCGUAGGCGUCGAGGACGACGCUGGCGGCGUGCCUAACACAUGCAAGUCGAACGGGGCAUUUUUCGCGGAGUCCUUCGGGGCGAAGGGGAUUUAGCCUAGUGGCGAACGGGUGAGUAACGCGUGAGCAACCUGCCUUUCAGAGGGGGACAACAGUUGGAAACGACUGCUAAUACCGCAUAACACAGCGGGGCCGCAUGGCUCUGCUGUCAAAGAUUUAUCGCUGAAAGAUGGGCUCGCGUCUGAUUAGCUAGUUGGUGAGGUAACGGCCCACCAAGGCGACGAUCAGUAGCCGGUCUGAGAGGAUGAACGGCCACAUUGGGACUGAGAUACGGCCCAGACUCCUACGGGAGGCAGCAGUGGGGAAUAUUGGGCAAUGGGGGCAACCCUGACCCAGCAACGCCGCGUGAGGGAAGAAGGCUUUCGGGUUGUAAACCUCUUUUACCAGGGAAGAAGAAAGUGACGGUACCUGGAGAAAAAGCCACGGCUAACUACGUGCC
rnacentral:rRNA from 1 species